UGAAAAAACUGGUAUUCUUAGGGAAAAGAAAUUGAAAUCCGAAAAUCGACGCUCAUUGCAAUUAUUCAUACAUCAAAAUAAAUGAUACGUAAGAAAACAAAAACCAGUUACAUUCAAGAAACACUAUUUGCAAUUUCCAAUUUAAUGGUCAGUAAUAUUUUCAUUUCACAAAUGGCAUGAUGUAAUAUUUUAUUGCCCAUAAACAAUAGUCCUUUACAUAACAAAGGCUGAUCGAAUUCAAUGAGUCCUAUAAAUCAUCUUGUAUUACUAAUUUUUAUGGCCUAUUCAUCAAAAUUUCUGAUUUAUGAAUCUACUGAUUUGAAAUCGUAAUAAACAUGAGGUGCCCAUAAUCGAUCGAUUUUUGAAUGAAAUUGAUUCGAAGUUUUUCUUUUGAAAAUUAAAACCAAAAUUGAUUCUACUUAGUGCUCCAAAUGUCGAGAAUGCUUUACUCACAAGAAAGACUUGUUGAUGAAGAGGGUCCUGAAGAUCCUGAGAUAGCACUUGGGAUUGAAGCUCUGCUGGUUGUAAGUCCAAUAAGAGAUGUUUUUGGGGCACCUAAGUAGUUCAGUCAAAUUUGAAUAAAUAAAUGUAACUUUCAAUAAUA